rnacentral:rRNA from 1 species
CGCGUAGGUGGUUUGUCAAGCGAGAUGUGAAAGCCCCGGGCUUAACCUGGGAACGGCAUUUCGAACUGGCAGGCUAGAGUGUGGUAGAGGGUAGUGGAAUUUCCUGUGUAGCGGUGAAAUGCGUAGAUAUAGGAAGGAACACCAGUGGCGAAGGCGGCUACCUGGACCAACACUGACACUGAGGUGCGAAAGCGUGGGGAGCAAACA